GACGAACGCUGGCGGCGUGCUUAACACAUGCAAGUCGAACGGAAAGGCCCUGCUUUUGUGGGGUGCUCGAGUGGCGAACGGGUGAGUAACACGUGAGUAACCUGCCCUUGACUUUGGGAUAACUUCAGGAAACUGGGGCUAAUACCGGAUAGGAGCUCCUGCUGCAUGGUGGGGGUUGGAAAGUUUCGGCGGUUGGGGAUGGACUCGCGGCUUAUCAGCUUGUUGGUGGGGUAGUGGCUUACCAAGGCUUUGACGGGUAGCCGGCCUGAGAGGGUGACCGGCCACAUUGGGACUAAGAUACGGCCCAGACUCCUACGGGAGGCAGCAGUGGGGAAUAUGGCACAAUGGGCGGAAGCCGGAUGCAGCAACGCCGCGUGCGGGAUGACGGCCUUCGGGUUGUAAACCGCUUUCGCCUGUGACGAAGCGUGUGUGACGGUAAUGGGUAAAGAAGCACCGGCUAACUACGUG
rnacentral:rRNA from 1 species